GGGGCAGUGGCUCAGCUGGAAGAGCGCCUCCCUCGCACGGAGGAGGUCGUGGGUUCGAAUCCCAUCUGCUCCA
rnacentral:tRNA from 1 species